rnacentral:rRNA from 1 species
UACGUAGGGUCCGAGCGUUGUCCGGAAUUAUUGGGCGUAAAGGGCUCGUAGGCGGUCUGUUGCGUCGGGAGUGAAAAACUUACAGCUUAACUGUGAGCGUGCUUCCGAUACGGGCAGACUUGAGGUAUUCAGGGGAGAACGGAAUUCCUGGUGUAGCGGUGAAAUGCGCAGAUAUCAGGAGGAACACCGGUGGCGAAGGCGGGUCUCUGGGCCGAUACUGACGCUGAGGAGCGAAAGCGUGGGGAGCAAACAGG